UACGAAGGGGGCUAGCGUUGUUCGGAUUUACUGGGCGUAAAGCGCACGUAGGCGGAUUGCUAAGUCAGGGGUGAAAUCCUGGAGCUCAACUCCAGAACUGCCUUUGAUACUGGUGAUCUUGAGUCCGGGAGAGGUGAGUGGAACUGCGAGUGUAGAGGUGAAAUUCGUAGAUAUUCGCAAGAACACCAGUGGCGAAGGCGGCUCACUGGCCCGGUACUGACGCUGAGGUGCGAAAGCGUGGGGAGCAAACAGGGU
rnacentral:rRNA from 1 species